rnacentral:lncRNA from 1 species
UUUUAUUAAUUUGUAAAUGGCUCCUCGUUAGGAGGAUUAAAUAAAACUUUCUUGUUGAAGCAAUCUAUGGUGGCGUGAUACGCCGCUAGCCAAUCCAUUCCUAAGAUUACAUCAAAAUUCCUGUGUCUAACCCUAUUAGGUCUACACUCAGUUUCCUAUUUGCUAUCUCUACGGCACAAACCCUAUAGAUAGCUUCCCCUAGUAGUGUUUCACCCCCAGCAGUAGACACAAACAAUAGUGAUUCAAGUUUAUCAGGUGAUACAUUAAUUUUAGAAGCAAAAGCAUGUGAAACAAAAGAGUGCGAUGCACCAGUGUCAAAUAAAACAUGAGCAAUAUGGUCACAGAUAGUAUACAUACCCUGUACCACAUCCAGGUCGGCGUCGGCAUCCUGCUGGGUAAGGUUGUAAGCUCUGCCCUGGAUAGGAGGCCUCCCUUGAUUCUGGUUCCUCGGGCAUUCUCUGGCAUAAUGCUGGACACUGCCACAAAUGCGACAAGUGUUGUUGAGGCGGUAGCAGGGUUAGUCCCCGUGAUCUUUGCCACAGUGUUGACAGAUCUUCCCACGUGCUGCCCCU